GAACAUCUAAGGGCAUACCCGUUGAUCAAGAGCGAAAGUUAAGGGUUCGAAGACGAUUUGACAAAGCUGGGCUGUCCCCGUUUGAAGACAGCCGGGCAAUCUGGUCGUCCAAAGCGACCCCGCAAGGGGUGAGAAAAGCUAGUCCCAAGGUUAUCAAAGCACUGACCUUGGGGCAACACCAUCAAAGUGUGGGAACCUCCAGAUACUGGAGCAAGCUCAGCAUCGCAGGGAAACCUGUUUUGCGAACCUGGGUUUAUCCCCAGGCUACAGCUUGCUUCAGCUGCUAAUGGACUACCUGCAGCCAAGCCCUAAACCUGAGCGAUCAGGCACGGGUGCAGUUAACAGACUAAACGGUGGUGGGUGGUGAAAGGCUGCUUUAAAGAAGCCUGGAUCUGCUUAAGAUAUAGUCGAAAGCUUGGGGAAGCCGGAAGGCUCCCUGCACUGGUUUGCAGAUACCGUCGUAGUCUUAACUAUAAAUGAUACUGACCAGGGAUAGGAUACUGUCCAUCUCGACUCUUCCCGGACCUUAGAGAAAUCAGAGUCUUUGAGUUCUGGGGGGAGUAUGGUCGCAAGGCUGAAACUAAAACCAAGGUUACCAAAGCAGGCUUAACACCCCUUGCUAGUCCAGCCUCGUGUCGCUCCUACCGAUUGGAGCCUCG
rnacentral:rRNA from 1 species